rnacentral:rRNA from 1 species
UACGGAGGGUGCGAGCGUUAUCCGGAUUCACUGGGUUUAAAGGGUGCGUAGGUGGGCAGGUAAGUCAGUGGUGAAAUCUCCGGGCUUAACCCGGAAACUGCCAUUGAUACUAUCAGUCUUGAAUACCGUGGAGGUAAGCGGAAUAUGUCAUGUAGCGGUGAAAUGCUUAGAUAUGACAUAGAACACCAAUUGCGAAGGCAGCUUACUACCCGAAUAUUGACACUGAGGCGCGAAAGCUAGGGGAGCAAACAGG